GCACGCCACCUCGUCUGCCAGAGAGAGGCCACCGCGCCGUUAGGACGGGGCCUGGUCUGGGAAUCCCAGGAGGCGCAGCCCUAUACCCGCACCUGGUCGCUGCACCAGUACCAGCCCGAGACGAUUGUGAGUCCGAGGAGCAGCGCGGGCCACGGCAGAUCCCCGGUCACGGGGUGCCGGAGCAGGUGGUAGGAGUCGGGCCGGGGUCGAUAGCAGAAGCUGGAGAUGUUUCCCACGGCUGGAUCCUCGGACACCGUCAGCGAAGUCGCUGCUCCCAGGUAUUUGUCGAAGAGACCCGAAUACCCGCCCACCUCGUGGAAGGCUGCCGGGCAAGGCCGUCAGGGGACCCUCCUUAGGACCCUCAGACCGGAGACGCGCAACGGCCCCGCGCGCAGGCCGAGAGCUCCGCGACCAUGCCCUCCGCGCCCCUCCCUGGUAGGCGAGCCCCUACCGUAACCCAUGAGGAUGCAGGCGCCCCCCAGAAUGACGAAGGUCUGUACCGUGUCCGUGUACAUCAGCGCGGCCAGCCCUCCUGCAACAGGCCGGGGUCAGGGGACAGCCCAGCUGUUUAUGUUACAGGCUGGCCUUAGCAAUAAGGCGUCUUUGUGGGAAUUUGAAAGAGUUCCCCUUCCUGGAGAAUAAAUUUCAAAACGAUAGCCUGUUCUCGGGGCUCAUGCACGCAGGCACCAACAAGCAGGGCUUGGCGGGCAGAGUGUGGCUGAGUUUUAGGGCCAGGCGCCUACUUGCAGGACCCCCACUAGCAGCCCCCUCUAGGCCCCAGUUUUGUUUGUUUUUGUUUUUGUUUUUGAGAUGGAGUCUUGCCCUGUCGCCCAGGCUGGAGUGCAAUGGUGG
rnacentral:lncRNA from 10 species